AGCGCAGGUGGUUUCUUAAGUCUGAUGUAAAAGGCAGUGGCUCAACCAUUGUGUGCAUUGGAAACUGGGAGACUUGAGUGCAGGAGAGGAGAGUGGAAUUCCAUGUGUAGCGGUGAAAUGCGUAGAUAUAUGGAGGAACACCGGAGGCGAAAGCGGCUCUCUGGCCUGUAACUGACACUGAGGCUCGAAAGCGUGGGAGCAAACA
rnacentral:rRNA from 1 species